UAGGGAAUCUUCCACAAUGGGCGAAAGCCUGAUGGAGCAACGCCGCGUGUGUGAUGAAGGGUUUCGGCUCGUAAAACACUGUUGUAAGAGAAGAAUGACAUUGAGAGUAACUGUUCAAUGUGUGACGGUAUCUUUACCAGAAAAGGAACGGCUAAAUACGUGCCAG
rnacentral:rRNA from 1 species